rnacentral:rRNA from 1 species
CGCCUCCUGCCCAUAUAAAAAUAUAGGAGGUCCCGCCUGCCCUGUGACCAAAAGUUUAACGGCCGCGGUAUUUUAACCGUGCAAAGGUAGCGCAAUCAAUUGUCUUUUAAAUGGAGACCUGUAUGAAUGGCAUAACGAGGGUUUAACUGUCUCUUUUUUCUGGUCAAUGAAACUGAUCUACCCGUGCAGAAGCGGGUAUACCCACACAAGACGAGAAGACCCUAUGGAGCUUUAGACGCCCACCAACCAUGAAGAGCAGCCUGCCUAACAGGCCCCCAAACUACAUGGCCCUGGUAUAAACGUCUUCGGUUGGGGCGACCACGGGGGAAAGCAAAGCCCCCGAGAGGAUUGGGGGAAACCCUAAAACCAAGAGCCACAGCUCUAAGUCACAAAAUAUUUGACCGACAAUGAUCCGGCUUUUGCCGAUCAACGGACCAAGUUACCCUAGGGAUAACAGCGCAAUCCCCUCCCAGAGUCCAUAUCGACGAGGGGGUUUACGACCUCGAUGUUGGAUCAGGAC